UGGCCGCGGGAUUCGAUUAAGCCAUGCAAGUCGAACGAGUUUAGGCUCGUGGCGUACGGCUCAGUAACACGUGGAUAACCUACCCUUAGGACUGGGAUAACCCUGGGAAACUGGGGAUAAUACUAGAUAGGCAAUUUUUCCUGGAAUGGUUUUUUGUUUAAAUGUUUUUUCGCCUAAGGAUGGGUCUGCGGCCGAUUAGGUAGUUGGUUAGGUAACGGCUUACCAAGCCAUUGAUCGGUACGGGUUGUGAGAGCAAGAGCCCGGAGAUGGAACCUGAGACAAGGUUCCAGGCCCUACGGGGUGCAGCAGGCGCGAAACCUCCGCAAUGUGAGAAAUCGCGACGGGGGGAUCCCAAGUGCCAUUCUUAACGGGAUGGCUUUUCAUUAGUGUAAAGAGCUUUUGGAAUAAGGGCUGGGCAAGACCGGUGCCAGCCGCCGCGGUAACACCGGCAGCUCUAGUGGUAGCAGUUUUUAUUGGGCCUAAAGCGUCCGUAGCCGGUUUAAUAAGUCUCUGGUGAAAUCCUGUAGCUUAACUGUGGGAAUUGCUGGAGAUACUAUUAGACUUGAGACCGGGAGAGGUUAGAGGUACUCCCAGGGUAGAGGUGAAAUUCUGUAAUCCUGGGAGGACCGCCUGUUGCGAAGGCGUCUAACUGGAACGGUUCUGACGGUGAGGGACGAAAGUUAGGGGCGCGAACCGGAUUAGAUACCCGGGUAGUCCUAACUGUAAACGAUGCGGACUUGGUGUUGGGGUGGCUUUGAGCUGCUCCAGUGCCGAAGGGAAGCUGUUAAGUCCGCCGCCU
rnacentral:rRNA from 1 species